rnacentral:snoRNA from 1 species
GUGAUGAGCAUCACCGAUGUUGAGCAGUGAUGGAGCCGUCCCAGUCUGA